rnacentral:lncRNA from 1 species
GUCAGCAUGCAUAGGACUUAAGAUGCAGUUAGCAAUUUUGGCAAAUGGCACCAUCUCCUACCCGUACCACCCCAAGGUAUGGAAUGAGUCCCUCAUGAAGGCAGCAGAAGCAGUGGAGAAUAGAGAAAGGGUGCUUUCAAAUAAAAGCGACUAGGACUGAGAGUUGAUGUCCUUUAUUUUCCUUACCAAUAGACUUACUACAAGAUUUUGCUGCUCUGUGGGAAACCCCCAGUCAUUCCAUAGACCUGCAAAAGACUACUUCUUACGUAAGUUUUGGCUAGAGGUUGGAAAAAUUGUGGGGUUUUUUUGUUUUUGUUUUAAUUAGAAGCAGAAUUGUCACAAGGCCCCUGGACCUGUUGUGGAUACUGACAGCUGCAGUCCCAAAAUGUAAGUUCUCCAGGCUGCAGGUUGGGGCAGCAAUGAAAACGCAGCUAAAUCGAGCUAUCGAGCUGGCGCGGCGGGGGGGGGCGGCGGUGGUUCUGGACUUCAUUCCUGAGGUCAGUGUCUCCAUCCUGGCCGCAGCAGAAUUACAAAACAUGAACCCUUUGGGAUAUUUGCACCAAGCGCUCCCAUGAAACGAGUGUGAAGAAAAAUUCACAAACGGCCCAGUUGGAGGAAAGGAGGUCCGGAGCCAGGAGGGGCAGGGCGAACGGGCCUGGGCGUACCCUCCAGGCUCGGUUUUUCCUGCCGCCCUCCCUGCCUUCCUCGACCUGCCAGCCAGCCAAGCAAGGAGCGAGCAGGAGCCAAGGCGCCUGAGAGGCCCGCUGGCCCCGCGGUUCCUCGCCUCAGGGUUUUUACGCGGCAGAGGCGAGUUGGGCCUUUCCGAAAGCAGGGUGUAUGUGUGUGUGGGGGGGAAGAGGGUACGGGGGACCAGCUCGCCACUCCCUGGAGCCGAGGGGCGGUUUCCCGAGCGUGCCCAGCAGGAUCAGGGGCGUGGUGCGAGGCUCGCCCCUCACAUCAAAGCUUAUGGGCCGUUUAAAAAGGAGCUCAGCCAGCCGAGAAGAUGUUUCAGAAUGGCUCAGGAAGGCACGCGUCCCUCUGACUGUUUUGGUAGGUCUCUGAACUGGAAGUUUUGUAAAGCAGCUAAUUUGGCACUGAGCGCUCAACACUUCUACACUAUGAGAAUGAACAGGGUAGAUAGUCCGUUUGUAUUUUGCCUCUUACAGAGGCCAGAGAUAUGACUUUAAGGAGUAAUACAGUGGUGCCUCGCUUAACGAUGUUAAUUCGUUCUGAAAAAAUAGCUGCUAAGCGAUUUCAUCUUUAAGCAAAACGCGGUUUCCCAUUGAAAUGCAUUGAAAACCGGAUAAUCCAUUCCAAUAGGAACAAAUUGCUAUCCUUAAGCAAAAAUUGCCAUAGGAAACGCGGUUCCCCAAUUGAAAUGCAUUGAAACCUAUUCAAUGCAUCUCAAUGGGGGGGGGGAAAUACAACAGUAAAUUAAAAAGAGUCAGAACAAAGUCAAAUUUGGUUAACAAAGGGUUUAUUAAGUGCACUUUAUGAUUUCAAACAUUUUAAACAGUAAACUUUAACUUUAUAAAUAACCUAAAAACAUUUAAAAAACGGCAAACAUGGGGCUGUUUAAACCAUCAUUAAGCGAAACAGGGGACCCAAAAUUUAAUCGUUAUGUGAAGCAUGGUCCCAACCAUCGCUAAGCGAAAAUCGCCCAUAGGGACCAUCGUUAAACGAAACGCAAAAAUGCUCCGAAAAAGUCAUCGUUAAGCGAUUUCAUCGCUAAAUGGAGUGCCCAUUAAGCGAGGCACCUAUUGAAUGGCAAUAGGUCAGAUCUGCAAUUUGUUAAAUAGAAAAUGUCUUGGAAUCUCUUGCUGAGAAUCCAAAGGCAAGAGUAGGUAUCACUGAAAAAAAAUAUACACAGACAAAGAUGCUAGCUAUCGAGCCAUACAAGUCUUCAUCAGGCUGGACAGCUCUGCUUUGUGGAAUGUGUAGAAAAACAUGUACAAGUUCCAAAAGUUAUAGCAGAUGAAUAUCUGACAGCAUCAGCAACCUUAGUUGUGUGUUGUUAGGUUAGUUCUGACUUAUGGCCACUCUUCCCAAGGUAAAAUGUUCAGGAAGUGGACUUCCCUUCUUCUGCAGAAGUUCUAGGACUCUGCAGUUUGCUCAAGGCCACAUAGGCCAGCUCUUCUCCUAGAAGACACAGUAGGGAAUUGUAACUCCUGACCGAAGAGCUCCAGCUCACUGAGCUAACCAACCACAAAUCCCUAAUAUGUUGUCCCGGUGGAUAAAAUGUUGUCUCAGACACCAGCAGACACCAGGCACCCUUCACUUUAGCAAUUUGUAUAACUUGGAUGGAAUCUAAAGUCCUUUGUAUAGAAGGGUAGACUACACAGCCUUGUGCAGUUUUAACAUGUACUGAUAAUUAUAGCUAUUAUUCCAAACCCCGUCCUUAUAGUUAUCAAUACAGUGGCUUUUUUUAAUAAAAUAAUUCUUUACCAUCCUGUUUCUCA